GAUGGACGGGUACGAAACACGUAUUGGAUUUCAAAAUGGAUCGUAGCUUUAAUUUCCAGAAUAUAAUUUAUGCUCCAUCGUUAUGGUUCCAACACUUGCGAUCGGAGGCACUUUGGACCACUUGAUGACGAAAGCACUCACACGCGUGCGCACACACAGGCAUACAUGCACACGUAGUUAGAGGAAAUCCGUGCACGUGAGAUGGGGGAGGAAUAUACAGACUCGCGACCAAGUCCACGUGAUGGGCGAGGAUUCGUGCGAUAACGAGUCGGCGAAUGCGAUCCCGAUGAGCCUUCGCAGUGGACUGUUUCUCUGGAGACUACGCGACAAUAUCCUGCAUUACGUGUAGCCUCUAUAGUUAGAUACACCUCGCGCCCCACCCACCCCGGGACUCGUCGAUGAGAGCACGGC
rnacentral:lncRNA from 1 species